AUUGAACGCUGGCGGCAGGCCUAACACAUGCGAGUCGAGCGGAUGAAGGGAGCUUGCUCCUGGAUUCAGCGGCGGACGGGUGAGUAAUGCCUAGGAAUCUGCCUGGUAGUGGGGGAUAACGUCCGGAAACGGGCGCUAAUACCGCAUACGUCCUGAGGGAGAAAGUGGGGGAUCUUCGGACCUCACGCUAUCAGAUGAGCCUAGGUCGGAUUAGCUAGUUGGUGGGGUAAAGGCCUACCAAGGCGACGAUCCGUAACUGGUCUGAGAGGAUGAUCAGUCACAGGGGAACUGAGACACGGACAAGCCUACGACGGGGGGAAGGAGGGGGGAAUAUGGGACAAGGGGGAAAAGCCUGAUCCAGCAAUGCGGCGUGGGGAAGGACGGUCUUCGGAUUGUAAAGCUUUUUAGGUUGGGAGGAAGGGAAGUAAGUUAAUACCUUGCUGUUUUGACGUUCCAAAAAGAAUAAGCACCGCCUAUCUUCGUG
rnacentral:rRNA from 1 species